UACGGAGGAUGCGAGCGUUAUCCGGAUUUAUUGGGUUUUAAGGGUGCGUAGGCGGACUGUCAAGUCAGCGGUAAAAUUGAGAGGCUCAACCUCUUCCCGCCGUUGAAACUGGUGGUCUUGAGUGGAUGAGAAGUACGCGGAAUGCGUGGUGUAGCGGUGAAAUGCAUAGAUAUCACGCAGAACUCCGAUUGCGAAGGCAGCGUACCGGCAUCCAACUGACGCUGAGGCACGAAAGCGUGGGGAUCAAACAGG
rnacentral:rRNA from 1 species